GCGGACGUGGCGGAACUGGUAGACGCGCAGGACUUAGGAUCCUGUACCGCAAGGUGUGCGGGUUCGAAUCCCGCCGUCCGCA
rnacentral:tRNA from 1 species